rnacentral:rRNA from 1 species
UACGUAGGGUGCAAGCGUUAAUCGGAAUUACUGGGCGUAAAGCGUGCGCAGGCGGUUUUGUAAGUCAGAUGUGAAAUCCCCGGGCUUAACCUGGGAACUGCGUUUGAAACUACAAGGCUAGAGUGUGGCAGAGGGGGGUGGAAUUCCACGUGUAGCAGUGAAAUGCGUAGAGAUGUGGAGGAACACCGAUGGCGAAGGCGGCAUCCUGGACCGGCAUUGACGCUGAGGCGCGAAAGCUAGGGGAGCAAACGGG